UUUUUUUUUUUUUUUUUUUAAUGAAAGUGAAAACAAUCAGAAAAUAAGCAAGCGAAACAGCGGCUGCUGCGCACGGGGCGGCUGGCAGGGCAGCGAACGGCGCGGCCCCGCCUCAGCACCACGGACAGCGGCGGCCGCCCCGGGAAGGGGAACGGGCCCUCCCUGCCCUGGGAAAGCGCCUCGGUCCGUACGGGAUAUCAGUACAUGUGCGCUUGGCACUCCCUCUCCAGCACUUCGGACUAGUGGCUCUUGACUCGUGGUGUUCGGGUGCCGUCAUGUGAAUGGAAUUACUCAACUGUGGAUGACACAAUGGUCUUUCACUGGUGCUGGCCUAGUUUUCUUCUCUUUAAGUGCUGGAGGUUUUGUUUCUUCUGUUAUACAACUCAGUUUUUCCAUCAGAAGUAGUAUGCAUAGCUCUGUACUACUUUGAUUCUGCUGGAGGAAGAAAAAAGGAAAUGAGUAUUACAGAAUGACUGGAUAUUGCUUUUUGAUUAUGGAAACCUACGGCUCUUCCCAAAGAUAUGAGAUCAACAUUUCCAAUCUGCAUGAAAGAGGAUGUAAGCAACAAAUGCAAUUAAGCCACAAUUAUUAAAAAUGCUGUAAAAAGGCAUACUUAGCCUUUCCAUCCUCCUCCUUUUUCAUCUUUUCCCCUGCAUGGAAAAUCUUGAAAUGGACGGGAUUUACACCAGAUGUAUUCUACCUGCAUAUAAUCAGUGCUCCUAGCUGCUACACUAAGACAAAAGGAAAAUAUCAAGUUGCACUCCAAGUAUUUUAAUUUUUUUGCUAUAGUUCCUCCUUAAUCCUUUUAAAGCAUCCCUGUAAUUGUCAAUGAGCAUAUUCAGAACCAGAAUAAAAUAACCAAAUUGUGAAACUUACAUCCAUCUUCUCACUUUCUAACAGUCAGAUAUGUGGCAUUUAUUUGCCUUCAAACAGGAUCUUAUUUGUUCUCCCAGUCUUUGUUUUAUGUAUUCAGAUCCCCAUGUUUCUUUAGCAUGCUCAAACAGGCUAAUAUAUUUUUGGGUUUUUUCUAUUUUAACUGGGUGUUUGAGGUCCUUAUAGCCUACUAUGCAAAUGAGCAUCAUGGGCCAUGCAGAUAGACUGUGUAAUAUGAUGUUCAGACAGUCACUUAUUCUGCAGUCUUUUCUGCUUGGAAUAACUGCAUUUUCCAUGAAAGACUGAGACAGCUGAGACAGAGGGAUCAACUAUUUAUUGCUUGUACCUGCAUAGAAUCACCAUAGUUUCUAUAGAGUAUAUGUUAAGAUAUAUAGUGUAUACAUAUCUCAAGAAAAUCAAUAUUUAAUUGCAUGCUUUGAUGAAGAUGGUUUACUGAAGAACAGUAAGUGAAGCCCAUUUCCACAACACGGGAUAAAAAGGCUAGUAAAAUCAUAAGCAUUCAAAGGUUUCUCAUUAGACCUGUUCUACAGCACCACCACCUAGUUUGCCAUAAAUUGGUGUUAAAUUGUGGCAAUGCUGUACCACCCAGUGCCUGGAAGGUGUGGGCAGAAAACAAGAAACAGUAAUUGAGAGAAAACAGAGGAAUUAAAAAUAAGAAAAGGAGUCAAGAAAGUAUUUUAGGCUGUAGUUAUUCAAAUUGGGAAAGACUGCCUUUUUAAUACACAAGAAAGAAAGAAACAGAGACUCUGGACAUAUAAGGAGACAUAUGGCAAAUUAAAAAAAAAAAAAAAAAUUACCCCAUUAUCCCAUUUAAGCUUGGGAAAGGAGGUGGGGAAGCAACAAAUGAAUUCAGAACAUAUCCUUUUCACUCUCCAAAACCAGCAUUUUCUCCUAGAACUUAAUGCUUCCACAGGGAUGCUCUUCUUGCAUCUCCACAGCACAUUAAGAAUAAUUGAACAGCUGCUGUUUGGAGACAUCACCUCUAACAUCUCUUUUCAGUCCACAAGGCUAUGUCUUUCCUCAUUCUUGAUAAGAUUGACACAAGGAGAAACAAGGUUAUUAAAAAUUACAGAGCUGGAUUUAGUCUUUAUGUAAUUGUUGCUUCUCCCAGCUCUGAUUGUAAAGUGCUGAUUCAGCCAUAGGCCAGUACUGUCUUGAUUAGUCAAAUGCUUUUGGACAGAAAGAAAAGUUAAAUACAGAAUUUUUAUGUUUUUUAUUUUUCUUUAAAAACCAAGUUACAGCUCCAGAAGAUGCUUGUAUAGACUAAAUGAGUGGACAGAAUGUGUUCUUCUUUGCCUUUAGUUUUGUUGCUGUUGUGGAAAAUGGCUUUCUUAAUUUCCAUUUGGAUAAGAUGUAGGGGUAGUGAUGUAGAGCUGUAACACUGUGGAAACUUCAACAUAUAGUUUGCUCUCCUUGGUACAGUAAUCUUACUGAAAUAAAUGGAAAUUUUUAUAGCAGGUGGAGUCAAACGUGGAACAAUUCUCAUCUAUUUAACUGCAAAGAAUUUCUAUUGCUUAACACAUGUAUCUUAUGCAUGUAUCAUUUUGCCUGAGUUAAUUUUUGUACUGUAUGUAAGAACUGUUCUCAAAUGGACUGGCCAUGUACAUCAAGUGUACCACCUUCUUAAUGCUGCAGUUUCAUAGGAGAAAGAAAUAUUAUUGUUGCUUUAGGAAGUGCUUUAGUAAUCAUAAGAAAAUUGCUCUAAUGUAAAAUGUAAUAAAGCUGGUUUUAAAUUGUUAGAGUAGCAACAGUUAUUUCCAUUAAUUAUACCAUAGAACAUCUCUUUUAUUCUUACUAUGCUGCCUUUAGGUUACAGAGGAAAGAAGAAUUCACUCUAGUCUUACA